rnacentral:lncRNA from 1 species
AUUUAAUACAAUUAUUUCAUGUAAUCAAUUGAAAAAGAGAUAAAGCCCCACCCUGUUGGGUUGUGACACAUCAGACUUAGCCCCAGAGUGGUAUCACUGUCAAUGAGGCACAAUCCAAACAGGCAAAAAAGGUUUCAGUGGAAUUUCAUUCCUUAGUUAAACCUCUGUAAAGACAGUAAAGGGAAUCUAUUUCUAGGCACUCAGCAAAAUGUCACAGUUAGUGCAUCUUGUUUUCUCUUCUCUUCUCCAGUGCUCUCAAAUUCCACAUCCACUAGAGCCUUUCAUUUGCCAAACCAAGGUAAGAGGCAACAAAGAAAAGAAAAAAGAAAUAAAUAGAUAAAUAAAUAAAAACUUCCUCUGCAAUCUUCAGUCUGAAACUGUUUCUUUCCAAACUCAUUGAUUUGCUGAGAUUCAACCACUUUGCUGGGUCCUCCUCCCUUUCCCUUUCUCAAGCUGGUGAUGGAUAUGGGUUGGAUUGGGAGAGUGGGAGUGGGCUGCAAGUUACAGGAUUCCUGAAUCAUCUUGCUUCAUCUUUAACUUUAUAAAAUCUGUGAAAAAUUAAACAUUUACUCACAAAAUCAUAACAGAUACACUGUAUCAUUUUCUGCAACCUCAGGCUAUACAGUAAGCAUGGCAGCAUUUGCUUCUGGGGAGGCCUUAGGGAGCUUUUACUUGUGGUGGAAGACAAAGCAAGCAGGAGCAGGUGUCUUACAAGGCAGGAGCAGGACCAAGGAGAGAAGAAAGAGCUUGGUCAAAACAUAUCUUGGGGUCUUGGUCCCACCCCACUGCAAGUGUUCUCAUGGAGGUUCACACCCAAGCAGACGAACAACUCCAGACGUGCCGCCUUAAGAGCUGUAACACUCACCACGAAGGUCUGCAGCUUCACUCCUGGGCUUGCGAGACCAUGAACCCACCGGAAGGAAGAAACUCCGAACACAUCCGAACAUCAGAAGGAACAAACUCCGGACACGCUGCCUUUAAGAACUGUGACACUCACCACGAGGGUCCGCGGCUUUAUUCUUGAAGUCAGUGAGACCAAGAACCCACCAAUUCUGGACAUAAUAUGAUUGAAACAAACUCGCAAGUUGAAGGACAGUAGGGAGAACUGUGGUCACCUGGCUAGACAGCACUCUAGCUGCUACUCAAGGUGAAGCGCAUUGCUGUCAUAUGAGAUCAGGAGCCUGGUAUUACCAGAUUUUCCAGUUUUUCAAGAGAAGCUAGAAAUCCAGAUUUGUAUGUUAUUCCAGUGUAUAAAUGUCGACAGUCAAUUCAAACUCCUAUAAAAUGCUUUAUUGGUUUAAAAAAAUGAAGCAUGGCAGCUUUUACUUUACAGUCUCUAAUCUAAUUGCAUCUCAUUUGAAAAGUGCGAAAAUAGAAUUACCAAAAAAGUGCUAUAUGCCCAAGGGUGCACACAACUACCUAAUGGCAAAACUGAUAAAACUCACAUCUCCCAAGUCUGACUCCAGGGACCUCUUAUGUCCUUCCCUAUGGUGCUUUUUCGCCCUUCACAUCUGUUUCUAAUCUGCAACUAAAUGCUGUUAUUUUUGUACUCUCCACUCCAUUCUCAUGGUCAUCACACUCACUGGGUUGCAGUUGUAUCAUAAACUUCUCACUGGAAUUUCUGUCAAUCCGAUUCACCUUGGUUUGUUUGCUAAGAUCAGACUAACCUUCUUGACAUUAACCCUCACACCCCUGCCCUAAAUUCUUAAAGAAUUCCUUAUCACUACUGCAUCAGUGCCAAGUACCCUGGACUGUCAUUCAGUCAUGUGGCCUCAAGUUGGUUUCCUUUUGCUUUCCUCAGGCCUCUGCGGCUGGCUGGUAUCCUGGCUGCUCCUUGAACAAGCUGGGUCACAUUAACUCAGCAUUUCCUAAAUUUUUUUUUUUUUUUUUUUUGAGACGGAGUCUCGCUCAUUGCCCAUGCUGGAGUGCAGUGGCUUAAAAAAAAGCCUGGUUCAGGCAGUUUCACUGUGAAGUUUUCCAGUUUUCAAAAAGCAAGUGAGUCAGUCUUAGGCUCUUUAAACUGUUUCAGAGGGUAGGGAAUGAAGAAAAGAGUAUCCUCAUUGUAACACUUCUGAAGGAGCAGGAUCCCGGAAAGGACACAAAAGAGAGAAAUAAUCAUCAAAAGAAUAGUAAUAGUGAUAAUAGCACCUCAACCCAAUUUCCCCAGAAAGUACCAGAACCCUGCUUAGAGCAUGUUGAUGCACGAUGA